UACGUAGGUGACAAGCGUUGUCCGGCUUUAUUAGGCGUAAAGCGAGCGCAGGCGGCUCUUUAAGUCUGAUGUGAAAGCCCACAGCUCAACCGUGGCACGGCAUUGGAAACUGGAGAGCUUGAAUGUAGAAGAGGAAAGUGGAAUUCCAUGUGUAGCGGUGGAAUGCGUAGAUAUAUAGAGGAACACCAGUGGCGAAGGCGACUUUCUGGUCUACUAUUGACGCUGAGGCUCGAGAGCGUGGGGAGCGAACAGG
rnacentral:rRNA from 1 species